rnacentral:lncRNA from 1 species
GGGUGGGACACCAACUCCAUGUGUCCCCAUUGUUCCCUCACAGACUGGAAAUCAGGUGGCCUAGAGCCUGGCAGAGGUCUGCACAGUGAGGACAGCACAGCCAGGCAUGCCAGACACCCUGAGGGAGGCCCUGGGGCAGACCUUCCUGAAAAGCUGGCCUAUCAACAGGCCCUCCUUCCCUGACCCCAGAAGGGUCUGCAUUUCCUCCCCACAGGAAGGCAUGGUGGGAAGUAGCACAGAUGAAGCUUUCUGGAAUCCCUAGUUGGGGAUAAGCAACAGUGCAAGAGGAGUCCAGAAGAGGCACAAAAAAUGAGAAAAACUUGGCUACAUGAGCUACACCCUGAGGAGAGCCACCACAGGAUGGACGCCUAAUGUCCCUCAAUUCUCAGACAGUUGUGGAGCACCAGCCCUGUGCCCUUGAGUACAACCACAAAGCAGACAACAGACCCUGUCCUCUUGGAGCUGACAGUGAGGACAGGCAGGGAGUCAUGGGAUCAGGCUACCCUGAAGAAGGCAAAGGCAUUCACACCACUGAACAAGGGGUUCAUCUCAUGGAGCCUUCUGUCAGGCUCCCAGGGCUCUGGGGCAGGAAUUCUAUACCAGGCAUAGGGAGCAGAUGGGGUUCACUCAUGGACAAACUGGGCAGGAGGCUGAAAGCUAGAAUUUAUUGAUCCCCUAAUCUUAACCCUAGCACUGGUCCUUAAAUCUAAUCCUAAAUAAAACCUAAACCUAAACUUGAACCUACCUCUAAACCAUACCCCUGACCCUAACCUUCAAGACAAAAAUCUGAAACUAAACCUAAACACUAACUCUAAUAAAACCCCUCUUCAUAACAUUAAAUCUAAGCAUAUUUCAAUCCAAAUCCCUAGCCACUAACUCUAACCAUAAGAUUAACCCUGAAUGUAACCCUGAAAAUUUAUCCUAAAUCAAACCCUUAACGUACCCUUCAUGUUCACCUGAACCCUAAACAUAACAUUCAUACUCACCCUAAAUCUUAACCAUAAAUAACAUCAAACUCUAAUCCUAAUCCAUAACAUCUAACACUAACCCUAACUUCCACCCCAAUACCAUCCCAAAUCCAAUGCUAAGCGGAAACCUAGCCCUAACUCUAAGCCCCACACUACCCCUAAAGCCAAACCUAACAUAAACCCUAUCCUAAUAUCCAAUGCUAAGCUUAAACCUUACUGCUAAUCCCUACAAUAUUUUCAGCAAAGAGACUCAGAGAGACCCUCUUUCUGUUGUUGACCUCUGGCCUACCUUCUG